UCUUCCCUCUCUCUCCCUGCUUAACACAUGCAAGUCGCAGGGUAACAUGAGGAAAGCUUGCUUUCCUUGAUGACGACUGGCGCACGGGUGAGUAACGCGUAUCCAACCUUCCCAUAACUACGGGAUAACCCGUUGAAAGACGGCCUAAUACCGUAUGACAUCGUUUGCUGACAUCAAAUAACGAUUAAAGGUUUAGCGGUUAUGGAUGGGGAUGCGUCUGAUUAGCUUGUUGGCGGGGUAACGGCCCACCAAGGCGACGAUCAGUAGGGGUUCUGAGAGGAAGGUCCCCCACAUUGGAACUGCGACACGGUCCAAACUCCUACGGGAGGCAGCAGUGAGGAAUAUUGGUCAAUGGGCGAGAGCCUGAACCAGCCAAGUAGCGUGCAGGAUGACGGCCCUAUGGGUUGUAAACUGCUUUUAUGUGGGGAUAAAGUGCGUGACGUGUCAUGCAUUGCAGGUACCACAUGAAUAAGGACCGGCUAAGUCCGUG
rnacentral:rRNA from 1 species